AUGAGCACCAUGCGGCUGCUGCUGCUCGCCCUCCUCUUCUCCUCGUCCUUCGCCCGCGCCGGCUGCGACCCUAAGAUCGUCAAUAUCGGCGCGGUGCUGAGCACCAAGAAGCACGAGCAGAUCUUCCGCGAGGCGGUGAACCAGGCCAACAAGCGGCACGGCACCUGGAAGCUUCAGCUCAACGCCACCUCCGUCACCCACAAGCCCAAUGCCAUCCAGAUGGCCCUGUCCGUCUGCGAGGACCUCAUCUCCAGCCAGGUCUAUGCAAUAUUAGUUAGUCACCCUCCUGCUCCCAACGAUCACCUAACACCAACACCUGUAUCAUACACAGCUGGCUUCUACAGGAUCCCUGUCAUUGGUCUGACAACACGCAUGUCUAUAUAUUCUGAUAAGAGCAUCCAUCUGUCCUUUUUGCGCACGGUCCCACCCUACUCUCACCAGGCCAACGUCUGGUUUGAGAUGAUGAGAGUCUUCAACUGGAACCACGUCAUUCUGAUAGUCAGCGACGACCACGAGGGUCGUGCUGCACAAAAGAAGCUGGAGACCCUCCUGGAGGAGAAAGAGUCCAAGAGUAAAAAAAGGAACUAUGAAAACCUCGACCAACUUUCCUAUGACAACAAGCGAGGACCCAAGGCUGAGAAAGUGCUUCAGUUUGACCCUGGGACCAAAAAUGUGACAGCGCUGCUGCUGGAGGCCAAGGAGCUGGAGGCCAGGGUCAUCAUCCUCUCUGCCAGCGAGGAUGACGCGGCCACGGUGUACAGAUCAGCAGCCAUGCUCAACAUGACGGGCUCGGGCUACGUGUGGCUGGUGGGGGAGCGGGAGAUCUCGGGCAAUGCCCUGCGCUACGCCCCGGACGGAGUGAUCGGCUUGCAGCUCAUCAACGGCAAGAACGAGUCAGCCCACAUCAGUGACGCUGUCGCCGUGGUGGCCCAGGCCGUGCACGACUUGUUUGAGAAGGAGAAUAUCACGGACCCACCGCGGGGCUGCGUGGGCAACACCAACAUCUGGAAGACGGGACCCCUUUUUAAGAGGGUGUUGAUGUCCUCCAAGUAUUCCGAAGGUGUCACCGGCCGAGUGGAGUUCAACGAGGACGGGGACAGGAAGUUUGCCAACUACAGCAUCAUGAACCUGCAGAAUCGGAAACUGGUCCAGGUUGGGAUUUACAACGGCAGCAAUGUCCUGACCAACGACAGGAAGAUCAUCUGGCCAGGCGGGGAAACGGAGAAACCUCAAGGCUAUCAGAUGUCAACCAAGUUGAAGAUUGUGACCAUCCACCAAGAGCCCUUUGUGUAUGUGAAGCCCACUCAGGCAGAUGGGACGUGCAGGGAGGAAUUCACCAUCAAUGGAGAUCCUGUCAAAAAGGUCUUCUGCACUGGACCCAACGAGACCAUCCCAGGCCGUCCCACCGUGGCACUGUGCUGCUAUGGCUUCUGCAUCGACCUGCUCAUCCGCCUGGCAGGCGUGAUGAACUUCACCUAUGAGGUUCACCUGGUGGCUGAUGGUAAAUUUGGUACCCAAGAGCGGGUGAACAACAGCAACAAGAAGGAGUGGAACGGGAUGAUGGGGGAGCUGCUGAGUGGCCAAGCUGACAUGAUUGUGGCUCCCCUCACCAUCAACAACGAGCGGGCUCAGUACAUUGAGUUCUCCAAGCCCUUCAAGUACCAGGGCCUCACCAUCCUCGUGAAGAAGGAAAUCCCCCGCAGCACCCUGGACUCGUUCAUGCAGCCCUUCCAGAGCACGCUCUGGCUGCUGGUGGGGCUGUCUGUGCACGUGGUGGCAGUGAUGUUGUACCUCCUAGACCGAUUCAGCCCAUUUGGCCGGUUCAAAGUAAACAGUGAGGAGGAGGAAGAAGAUGCCCUGACUCUCUCCUCAGCCAUGUGGUUCUCCUGGGGAGUCCUGCUGAACUCUGGCAUUGGAGAAGGUGCUCCCCGGAGUUUCUCUGCCCGUAUCCUUGGCAUGGUGUGGGCUGGCUUUGCUAUGAUCAUUGUGGCUUCAUACACUGCCAACCUGGCAGCUUUCCUGGUGUUAGACCGACCUGAGGAGAGGAUCACGGGCAUUAACGACCCCCGGCUGCGCAACCCCUCGGAUAAGUUCAUCUACGCCACGGUGAAGCAGAGCUCCGUGGACAUCUACUUCCGACGGCAGGUGGAGCUGAGCACCAUGUACAGGCACAUGGAGAAGCACAACUACGAGAGCGCUGCCGAAGCCAUCCAGGCAGUGAGGGACAACAAGCUCCACGCCUUCAUCUGGGACUCGGCGGUGCUGGAGUUCGAGGCCUCCCAGAAGUGUGACCUGGUGACGACGGGGGAGCUCUUCUUCCGCUCCGGCUUCGGGAUCGGGAUGCGCAAGGACAGCCCCUGGAAGCAGAACGUCUCCCUGGCCAUCCUCAAGUCCCACGAGAAUGGCUUCAUGGAGGAUUUGGACAAGACUUGGGUGAGGUAUCAAGAGUGUGAUUCCCGUAGCAAUGCCCCAGCAACACUCACCUUUGAAAAUAUGGCAGGUGUGUUUAUGCUGGUGGCUGGAGGUAUUGUUGCCGGGAUAUUUUUAAUAUUCAUAGAGAUAGCUUACAAAAGGCAUAAGGACGCGCGGAGGAAGCAGAUGCAGCUGGCGUUUGCGGCCGUUAAUGUGUGGAGGAAAAACCUGCAGAGAGAACUGAGAAGGAGGAGCAAAUGUAUCCCCGAGCAUGCUCUACGCACCAGCGGGAUACAUUUUGGUUACCCCCGUGCGGUAGCAGAGCCAGACCUGGUCACUCCGUCCCCCGUCGGAAAGGUCACACUCAUUGGCACGAAAGCAAUUGGGGAGGACUCGUUGCCAGCGCCCAGCGCCGAGCGCGGCCGGGCCCCCCGGCCCGCGGCCCCCGCACCAUGGCGGCUGGUGCUCCCAGCCUGCGCCAACCAGUUUCCUUUUUGUUUUUUAGCCUGUUUUACUUUGGAAAACAAACCAAACCACCACCAACAACCACGUUCGGCUUUGCACAACUGCAUCAUUUGAAUUUUUGAACACAUUUUUUUUACAGAAUAUUCAUACAAUGACUUCUCUUUCAAUGCAGUCCUCUCUCUCUCUUGUGGCACUAGGAUUCAGCCUCAGAAAAGGCCCUGAGCACUUUUUUUUUUUUAGUGGUAGGUGCAGCAUCUCACGUCUCGGUCCAGCCAGGCUAGCGGUGGAAGCGAGGGGCAGGGCGCCAGGCAGACCAUCCCCAGGAAGCGAGGUCAGCUGUGCCAGCCUGGCUGCAGACACCAGGAGAGCAGGGCUACUUCCCAGAGGGGUUCCCACGCUCCAGAUGCGAGGCCGGCCCCCCGUAGCUGUAGCAGUGUGGUGGCUGUGCCCUGGGUCACGGAGGCCCUCGGAGGACUGGGAGUGGCAGAACACCUCCAGUAGCUUUCUCACCUAAAUGAAGGCCAUGACACGGGGCAGUAUUCGAAUAGAUUUAGAGUUUCCAACAACACACUAGAGAUCUAAUUACUUAUACAUAUUCAUUUUAGGAUAGAAAAAGUGGUAGAGCAGAACCUGACCCUAAAAAGAAAGCCACUUUUAGGUCCAUCACCUCCACCCUGGCCUCCAGCUUCAAGAGACGUAGGUCCUCCAAGGAUACGCCCUGCAGAAUGGUCCCUCAGGAGUGCCAGAGAGACAGGCUGGCACCAUGGAGCCAAGACAGCCCUGGGAAGCUUCCACCCCACUCUGAACGUCCUAGCGCCCACCAUCACCCGAGCUGCACAGCCUCUCCGCGGCACAUCAUCCCCACCGCCCCAGGAGGAGAUGCAUGUGUUCCCCAUAGGCAGCUCCUGCAACUCGAGUAGCACUGGCAGAGCUGACGUGUCCAUCCAUCGCAGCCACCCACGAUACUGCAACCCCACAGACGCCAUGUGAGACGCAUAAACCACACAGACACCUCCGAGCCGGCACAUUGCGUACAGACACGUGUGAGGUGCACAGGCCCCUUAGCCCCCCGCACCGCCAGCCCCGCAGAGCCACCCUGCCACCCCAGCCCCGGUGACACCCAGGGCACCGCCCGCCAGGGCCGGCCCGGCCGCGCUCACCCGCGGCCCUGGGCAUGGUGCCAGGGCUGGCUGACAACCGAGGGGCUUCCUGGAAAAGGUCACCUUCUCAGUGAAGGAUCAGCAGUCCCAAAGCCAAACGCUCCUUGGCUGAGAAAGAGCCUAGUUUUUGGCCCAAAAGAACCAAAAGUAGGUCAAAGAUGACUUUUCUUUUUUUUUUUUUUUUUUUUUUUUUUUUUUUUUCCCUAAAGGGAAGUUGAUAUUUUCUACAGCAAGAUUGCAUUUAGCUGGAAUCCUAAUUUUUAAUGGAAAAAAAAAAAACACAACAACAAACCAAAAUUCUUCCAGAAAAUCUUCCACCAGCCAGGCACUACCAUAUGAGCCCAGUUAGGCUGAAGUCAUUUUUAAAGACAUUAAGUUCUUGUCUAUAUUUUCUUCCUGGUUGUCAUUUAAAGUUUUUGGUGCCUUCACUUCACUUCCAUACCUUAACAUGUUUGAGUCUCUUCUACGGUUAAUAUUGAUUAAUUUCUUGGCUUUAUAAUGUUUGGUUUGGGGAUUAUUGCACCAUCCCUGUAACAUAAUUUACCUUAAAUUACUGAUAUGUGCUUCUAGCAUUAGUUCUACUUUAACAUAGUUUUGAUAUGACCGUUUUCUUGCUUUUUUUCUUUUCUUUUUUUCUUUUCAUUUUAAUUUUUAUUAUUAAAAAUUGCAUGCAUGAACUUUACACAAAAAAAAAAAAAAAGUAAAUGAGAAUGUUACCCUGUGAUAACUCUGUGAUUGGAGGAGAUAUGCUUUCAAAUCAAAAGCCAUGCUCUUGUAUUUUAA